rnacentral:lncRNA from 1 species
GAGUGAAGUUGUGAGUGAGCAGCGAUGGUUAGUAUAUGAAGGCCUUGCUUCUCGCUCCAUAUAAACCUUUUCACGUGGUCUCUGCAUGGCGUGCUGUCUCCACCUUAUCUACUGAAUAAGGAUAAACAUGGGUUCUGUAAGAAUGCCAACUUCUUAAGAAAUAUUGAAAUGUAAAAUAGUACCCAGUUCAUGGAGGUUGUUGUGAGAAUAUCAUAGACGUCAAUAGGAAGCAACUUUUCAACAUAGCCUUUAUUAGACUUACUACUUGGCUAUCUCAUUAUCAACUAAUAUACAUACUGAGAUGCCUACUCAUAGUGACAGACUACUAGAGGCAAGUCCCAAGAUACUGAGAUACAACACUAAGUGAAGUGGGAUCAACUUUCUUUGAAAUUUUGUAAUGUCUCUUUGUGAACCACAAACAAAUCUGGACAGCAGCAGUGUAGAGGAUGAGUACAGUAGCAGCAGUGGCAGCAAGGAUUCUUAGUUGCAGUUGCAUUUCUUCUUCAUGAGGCAGGUUGCUGUAUUACUUGCUCCCUGCUUGUGUCUCUUCUUAUGGCUGUGUUCUGCAAAGUAUGAGCCUCCAAUUAUUUCUAUUUCCUGCAUCUUCUUGUUCUCCUUUGAGCAUUUUCUUAGAGUAUAGUGGUUCUCAAACGUAAUUUUCAUGGAUAGGUUGACAAACACCACAGUGAGAAACAAAAUUUGUGCACCACAAACCAAUAAAGUUUAAGCUGAAGUGAAGGGUUGAUCCAUUAAUUAUUCAAACUCCACAUAGAAGAAGAAAAAAAUCAAAUAGCAAGGAUGGAAAUAGAAAAUAAGACCUGGAGAAUUUGAAUGAGUGAUGGUUGGUGCCAUGUACUGUACCAGAUACCUUCAUUAUCUAUUCAAAACUCCACUAAGAGAGAGAGAGAGAGAGAGAGAGAGAGAAUACCAUUGAACCAAAUAGCAAUGAAAACAAAAUAAAACAACUGGAAAGGAUGAACAUUAGAGAGAGAGAGAGAGAGAGAGAGAGAGAGAGAGAGAGAUUCAUAACCCAUUCAGGCCUAUAAAGAUAAAACACCAACAAAUCCACUAACAAUACGACUCCAAAAAAGAAAACUAAGAACAUUAAACCAAAUAACAAACUCCUCUAGCCUAACCUAACCUAACCUAACCUAUUACACAGACACAGCUAUCACUCCUACCAGCAAGACACAGCACAGCAAGACCUGGCUAUCAACUCCUGCCCCACACAAACACACUUGCUUCCUUCUUGCUCUGGUCUCAUCACUUUUGGUCCAGUAAUAAAAUUCAUGCAAAAAAUACCUUAAAAAGAAUGCAGCACUCAUUGAUGACAUUUUACUAACAAUUAACUAAUGGCACAUGUGAUGACUUGUUAUAUACCACCUCUUAUUCCUGCUGGCCCGCAAGCAAAUUAAUGGCUCUCCCCCCAAAAAUAAAGCAUAAUAAUGGCUUUCCUCCCCCCAAAAAAAUAGAGAAAAAUAAUGGCUCUCCUGCAAAAGAAAAAUAAAGCAAAAUAAUGGCUUUCCCCAAAAAACUAAAUAGAGAAAAAUAAUGGUUUUCCCCUGCCCCAAAAAAUAAAGCAAAAUAAUGGCUUUUUCCCCAAAUAAAAUUAGAGCAAAAUAAUGGCUUUGCCCCCCCAUAAAUAGAGAAAAAUAAUGGCUCUCCCCCCCAAAAAAAAGUAAGAUAAUGGUUUUCCCCAAAAAAAUAGAGAAAAAUAAUGGCGCUCCUCACUCGACCCUCCAAAAAAUAUAGUAAAAUAAUGGCUCUCCUCACUCGACCCUCCAAAAAAUAUAGUAAAAUAAUGGCUCUCCUCACUCGACCCUCCAAAAAAUAUAGUAAAAUAAUGGCUCUCCUCACCCCACCCAAAAAAUAUAGUAAAAUAAUGGCUUUCCCUGCAAAAGAAAUAGAGAAAAAUAAUGGCUCUCCC